AUGAUCAGCCAUGGAAAACACAUACACAGACACAAACGAGACGCACACACACAGUCUCUGCUAAAUACUGCAGAGGUGUCUACUCGCCCGUCGCUUUUUCUACACCUGACGGCUGCUGUCUUUCAUUCACUCGUCUUUAUGCCAGUUUCUGGCUCUUUCUCCUCAAUGUCUCACUUCAUUUUCCUCAUCUUUGUCCUGUCGCUCUCGUUACUGUCUUGUUCUUUCUUUCACAUUGCUGCCUUUCUUUUCUCUGUCUCAUCUUUUUUUUUAAAUUUCAUCUUUCUAGUACCAUCUCUCCUUGCCGCUGUCGCCUCUGGCGUGCUUAAGUUGGGGGACACUUCAUUUCCAGUGAUAUCGUUGACUUGAUUGCACAGAUACUAUUUAAACUGAACUGAGCUGGAUGACGACAUCACUGAAUUAAAUGAAGAACUGCCUUUAACUAAAAAAUGAGUGUUUACUAUUGUCAUUUUGCAUUAUUGACACUAUUUUCCUAAUUAAUGCUGUACAUUUGCUUUGACACAAUCUGUAUUGUUAAAAGCGCUGUAUAAAUAAAGGUGACUUGACUUGACUUGACUUGAUUCACAUCUCUCUCAUCUUUACCUCAUAUUUCUCAUCUCUUCCUCUGACACAUCUCGAUCUUCUUUGGUUUCAUGUUUUUUCCCAUUCGUCUCAUCUCUUUUUCAUUUUUUGUACCCCAUCUUUCUCCUGUCUCUGUCAUUACAGUCUCAUUCUUCCUCAGAUUUUUUUCCUUGCAUCUUUUUUCCUGUUUCAUCUCUUUCUCAGUUUUGUCUCUUUCACUUUUUUGCAUUGUCUCUCUCUCAUUCCCGUCUCCUCCUCCUGAUUUCUGCCUCCUCUCUUUCUCCUUUUUCUCUUCCAAGUAAAAAUGUUUCAUUUGCCUUAAAGAGGUCAUAUGAUGCGAUUUCAAUUUUUCCUUUUGGAGUGUUACAGGCUCUUGUUGCAUGAAGAAGAUCUCUAAAGUUGCAAAGACUAAAGUCUCAAAUCCAAAGAGAUAUUCUUUAUAAAACUUAAUAUUAUAUUUUUUAAAUAUCAGUUAUUCGGUUUUUAAAUGUGCCUUACACUCCCUCUGACGUGAAAUAAACCAAUAUCCCGAGUUAUUCAGUUACUCCUUACAGUACAUUGACUGAACUGCUAAAAGAGAACCGAUGAUGGGAUGUGCACGAGCAGAGCAACUGGACUGAGUCUCGUGCUGCUGGCCUGGGAGACGUCAUAGUAUAGGUUAAGAGGCAUAACAUUUCCGUCACACGCUUGAGGUAUUCAGCCAAUCACAACGCACUGGAUAGCUGGCCAAUCAGAGCACACCUUGCUUUUCAGACUGAUGAGCUUUGUAAAAAAAUAGUGUUUCAGAAAGGCGGGGCAUAGAGGAGAAACUAUAAUGUACAUUAUAUGGAAAAUAAUGUGUAAUUUGAUCCUUAAACUGCAUAAACACAUUGCAUUACACCAAAUAAUGUUCUUUUUAGCAGCAACAUAUGAUCCCUUUAACACUCUCUUCUCCUCUGUUUUCCAUCACCGUCUCAAAUCUUUCUUACAUCUCUCUCAUUGUUACCUCAUAUCUUUCUCAUCAGUCUCUGUAUUUUCUAUUUCUCCUCUUUCUGUCACAUCUUGAUCAACUUUGUUUCAUGUCCUUCUGCUGCUUUUCCCAGUCUAUUUAUCUUCAUUGCCUUGUCUUUUUGUCAUUCCUGUCUUAUCUUUGAUCUCUGCUCUCCUCUCGGUCUCAUCUGUAUCAUCUCUUUUUCCCCUUAGUCUUUGUAUGUAUUGUAAUUAUAUAUAUUGUAUACAUUUUUUUAUCUAAAUCAAGACAAACAGGACAGAAAGAGCAACAGAAAAAGACAGACAGGACACGGCAGACACAAAAAGUAAAAUUGCUCUAUAGGUCUGUAUACAGAGAGAUGCUGUAAAGGGUUAACGAGAGUGAAAGUGCUUAAAGCUCACAAUAGGCUAAAGUGUGUGUAUUCCAGGAAACAGGAUGUCCUUUUGUGUGCUGCAGUGUUAAAAUGAUGUGAAACUCUAUGACGUCACAGGCCGCUCUCCUUGAAAUGCAGCACCAUCACAUGUGUGUAUACGUGUCUACGUGAGAGAGCACAAACGUGCAUCUACCACUGCUUAGACAUUGCAAUCUAACAGAAACCCUGCAUUGUUUGCAAUCUGAAAGAGUCAGAGGAUGCAAGAGAAAACACACGAGGAGAGAGAUGCAGACAUGGCGCUGCUGCCGGAGAAUAAUUUAUGCACGACACAGAUCACACACAGAUGUCCAGAGAGAGAGAGAGAGAGAGAGAGACUGCACUGUUGGGAAAAUCUGCGGCGAUCAGAGGAAGUCAGCAUAGAAUGAAAUUCCUGGUGUAUGUGCAACCAUGACCCUGCCCUGACCUCUACUUCUUGCAUCAAAGAGGAUUACGGGACAGCUAACAGUCUGCCAAGAGUCUGACUGAAGUUAAAAAAUAGAAAAGUUGGAUAAAAAACAGACUGACUGGAAGACAUGUGUAUGAACAAAAUCAAUAUUAUCUGUCAAAUUCUUCCAAACAGCAUCAGGGAUUGUCUGCAUGAGAAGAAAGAGCAUUUGAAACACGGGAAUAUGUUAAAGCAUUUAGUGCUGGCUGUAUGAUUAUGAUUAUUAUUAUUAAAUGUAUUUAUUAAUCAUUUUACCUCAGUUAAGGGAUUACAAAAAAAUCAACUUCUUCCAUAUUUCACAUAUGUGUUCAAAGGAUGGCGUUCUGUCUCCAAAAACCAUAAAUGACAGUCAGACAUUUGCAAGACAUCUGUAUCCUGGCUGACCCUUCUAUGAACACUCCUGAAGAAAUGUGAGGCUCUUAAAGGCAUCUUAUGUUACGGAAUUAUAAAAUAUUGAUUAUAGAGGAAUGAAACGAUCCUGUGCAAAUUGUAAAAGCUGUGGUAAAUUACAGGGUGGAACAGAGCAGAGAGUCAACCGUGAUGCGACGACACCAGAACACUGCCAAUAUAAUCAAUGAAGCUGUCUACACUGCAAGUUUGUGAAGCCAUGUGACAAAACUAGAAUAUUUCCAUUAUAAUCAGCAAAUCUGUCUACAUUGCAUGCAAGUGAAGCUCCGCAACAAAGCAAUCCACAUUGCAAGAGUGAAAAGCAACAAAAGUAGAACUUUUGCAUUAUAAUCAACAAAGCUGUGUAUAAGCUGUGCAAGUGAGUGACACAACAAAUUUAGAAUGGUUGCAUUGUAAUCAAUAAAACCUACAUUGCAAAUGAGAAAUGCGACAAAACUUUUAACAAAUAUAGCCGUCUUUUGACACAGCAAGCAAUCAAAGCAAGGUGACAAAACUAGCUGUUAUAAUCAGCGAAUCUGUCUACAUUGCAUGCAAAAUGCUGCAACAAUGGGGCCUACACUGCAAGUGUGCAGAAAUGUGACAUAACAAAAGCUGAUAGCUGAUAACUGUUCGCUUGCAUAUACACUGCAUGCAAGCAAAGCAAGGUGACAAAAUUUGAAGUCUUACAUUUAAAUCAACAAAGCUGUGUACUCUGCAAACGAGUGGGGUGGAGCCGAGAGCCAUGGGAAUGGAGCGAGGCCAGUGGAGUUAAUGAUAAUGAGCGACACCUGCACCUCUCACCGGUCUUGAGUCCCACAGAGGAGCUCCGGAAAGGAUAAAAGAAGGAGUGACAACAGUGUUGGAUGAGAGAGGACCUGGCCUGGAUUUUUAAUGUUGUUUUGUUUCUGUUUGUGCGUGGCCUGUGAGGGGCUAUUUUCAGUUUUGUGUUUGUUUUAUUAUUAAAGGUUUGUUUAAAUGUUCACCGGUUCCAGCCUCCUCCUUCCUGAUCUAUGGAGUUUGUUACAAGUGCAACAAAUCCAGAAUCCUUGCAUUAUAAUCAAUAAAACCUACACUGUCAGCAGUAGUGUAGUGGUGCCCGGA
ensembl:lncRNA